UACAGAGGUCCCGAGCGUUGUUCGGAUUCACUGGGCGUAAAGGGUGCGUAGGCGGGUCUUUAAGUCAGGGGUGAAAUCCUGGAGCUCAACUCCAGAACUGCCUUUGAUACUGAAGAUCUUGAGUCCGGGAGAGGUGAGUGGAACUGCGAGUGUAGAGGUGAAAUUCGUAGAUAUUCGCAAGAACACCAGUGGCGAAGGCGGCUCACUGGCCCGGUACUGACGCUGAGGCACGAAAGCGUGGGGAGCAAACAGG
rnacentral:rRNA from 1 species